UACGGAAGGGGCAAGCGUUGUUCGGAUUCAUUGGGCGUAAAGGGUGCGUAGGUGGCGCCGUAAGUCGGGUGUGAAAUUUCGGAGCUUAACUCCGAAACUGCAUUCGAUACUGCGGUGCUUGAGGACUGGAGAGGAGACUGGAAUUCAUGGUGUAGCAGUGAAAUGCGUAGAGAUCAUGAGGAAGACCAGUGGCGAAGGCGGGUCUCUGGACAGUUCCUGACACUGAGGCACGAAGGCCAGGGGAGCAAACGGG
rnacentral:rRNA from 1 species